ensembl:lncRNA
CAAGAUUUGUUGUAGUGCAAUGGGGUGUCUUCUCUAGGUGCGAAGGGGAGGAGGCCAUGCAGUAGGGACUGGAACAGUGGACAACUGGAACUAGUGACAGCAUGAAGUUCAACAAAAGAAAAUGCUGGGUUCUGCACCUGGGAUGGAGUAACACCAGAUACAGACCAAUUACCUGGGUGUGUGUGUGUGCACUGAGAGGGAAUUCACUUCGCUAAAGGUGUCAAUAACUGAACCGGAAUGCAAAGCAAUGGAAGUAGUCUCACUCUGUGGGUCUAUAUGUGAAGCUCUAGAAACUCCAUUUAUGUGAACUGAAAUCCACUAUCAGAGACUAACCAAGAGAAACUUGUCUGGUAAG